UUCGCAAUGCCCGAAAGGGUGACGAAGCGACGCCGCGUGUGGGAAGAAGGCCUUCGGGUUGUAAACCACUGUCGGGAGUUAAGAAAUGCAAGGAUAUUAAUAGUGUCUUUGUUUGACUAAGGCUCCAGAGGAAGCCACGGCUAACUCUGUGCCAGCAGCCGCGGUAAUACAGAGGCGGCAAGCGUUGUUCGGAAUUAUUGGGCGUAAAGAGCACGUAGGUGGGUUUGUAAGUCAGAUGUGAAAGCCUUCUGUUCAACGGAAGAAUUGCAUCUGAAACUGCAAAUCUUGAGUGUAGGAGGGGAGAAUGGAACUUCUGGUGGAGCGGUGAAAUGCGUAGAUAUCAGAAGGAACGCCGGCGGCGAAAGCGACUCUCUGGCCCGAAACUGACGCUGAGUGUGCGAAAGCUAGGGGAGCAAACGGGAUUAGAUACCCCGGUAGUCCUAGCCGUAAACGAUGGGCACUAAGUAGAGGGGUUUU
rnacentral:rRNA from 1 species